rnacentral:rRNA from 1 species
UACGUAGGGUGCGAGCGUUGUCCGGAAUUAUUGGGCGUAAAGAGCUCGUAGGCGGCUUGUCGCGUCGGAUGUGAAAGCCCCGGGGCUUAACUCCGGGUCUGCAUUCGAUACGGGCAGGCUAGAGUUCGGUAGGGGAGAUCGGAAUUCCUGGUGUAGCGGUGAAAUGCGCAGAUAUCAGGAGGAACACCGGUGGCGAAGGCGGUUCUCUGGGCAUGUCCUGACGCUGAGGAGCGAAAGUGUGGGGAGCGAACAGG